rnacentral:rRNA from 1 species
CAGCAGUCGCCGCGUAAUACGUAGGGUGCAAGCGUUAAUCGGAAUUACUGGGCGUAAAGCGUGCGCAGGCGGUUAUAUAAGACAGAUGUGAAAUCCCCGGGCUCAACCUGGGAACUGCAUUUGUGACUGUAUAGCUAGAGUACGGCAGAGGGGGAUGGAAUUCCGCGUGUAGCAGUGAAAUGCGUAGAUAUGCGGAGGAACACCGAUGGCGAAGGCAAUCCCCUGGGCCUGUACUGACGCUCAUGCACGAAAGCGUGGGGAGCAAACAGGAUUAGAUACCCGUGUAGUCCCUGUCUCUUAUACA